rnacentral:rRNA from 1 species
AUUGAACGCUGGCGGCAGGCCUAACACAUGCAAGUCGCACGAGUGGAGGACGGGUGAGUAAUGUAUGGGAAACUGCCCGAUGGAGGGGGAUAACUACUGGAAAAGGUAGCUAAUACCGCAUAACAUAGGAUCUGCCCAGAUGGGAUUAUCUAGUGGGUGGGGUAACGUCUCACCUAGGCGACGAUCCCUAGCUGGUCUGAGAGGAUGACCAGCCACACUGGAACUGAGACACGGUCCAGACUCCUACGGGAGGCAGCAGUGGGGAAUAUUGGACAAUGGGCGAAAGCCUGAUGCAGCCAUGCCGCGUGUAUGAAGAAGGCCUUCGGGUUGUAAAGUACUUUCAGCGAGGAGGCGUUACUCGCAGAAGAAGCACCGGCUAACUACGUGCCAGCAGCCGCGGUAAUAC